AGAGUUUGAUCAUGGCUCAGAAUCAACGCUGGCGGCGUGCCUCAGACAUGCAAGUCGAACGAUUAAAGCUCUCUUCGGAGAGUGUAUAGAGUGGCGUACGGGAGAGUAACACGUAAGUAAUCUACCCUUGGGUGGGGAAUAACUUAGGGAAACCUAAGCUAAUACCGCAUAAUGCAGCGGCUCCGUAAGGAGACAGUUGUUAAAGCAUUUAUGUGCCUAAGGAGGAGCUUGCGGCAGAUUAGCUAGUUGGUAAGGUAACGGCUUACCAAGGCGACGAUCUGUAGCCGGUCUAAGAGGACGGUCGGUCUCACUGACACUGAAUAACGGGUCAGACUCCUACGGGAGGCAGCAGUCGGGAAUUUUGCGCAAUGGGGGAAACCCUGACGCAGCAACGCCGCGUGAAGGAUGAAGUCUUUCGGGAUGUAAACUUCGAAAGUAUAGGAAGAAUCAAUGACGGUACUAUACAUAAGCUCCGGCUAACUACGUGCCAGCAGCCGCGGUAAUACGUAGGGGGCAAGCGUUGUUCGGAUUUACUGGGCGUAAAGGGUGCGUAGGCGGCGCGACAAGUUACUUGUGAAAUCUCCGGGCUUAACUCGGAACGGCCAAGUAAAACUGUUGUGCUAGAGUACAGAAAGGGUAACUGGAAUUCUUGGUGUAGCGGUGAAAUGCGUAGAUAUCAAGAGGAACACCUGAGGCGAAGGC
rnacentral:rRNA from 1 species